AUGUACCACUCGUACACUCCGGUUCUGAGCACGCCGUCCGCACCCACCUGACGACUGCUCGCUACGUUUUGUUAGCC
rnacentral:sRNA from 1 species